rnacentral:rRNA from 1 species
GAUGAACGCUAGUAGUAUGCUUAACACAUGCAAGUCGAACGGAAAUUAUUUUUCGUGGCGAACGGGUGAGUAGAUGUAGAAUUUUUCCUUUCAGUUCAGGACAAAUAUUUCCUUCGGGUAAUAAAAUACUGAAUAAAUUUAAAAGGUUUAAUCCGCUGAAAGAUAAAUCUGCUUAAGAUUAGGUUGUUGGUAAUUUAAAAGCUUACCAAGCCAAUGAUCUUUAGUUGGUCUGAGAGGACGAUCAACCACACUAGAACUGAAAUAAGGUCUAGGCUAAUACGUUGGCCAGCAGUGAGGAAUAUUGGACAAUGAACGAAAGUUUGAUCCAGCAAUACUAACUGGGUGAUGACGGCUUAUUUAAGUUGUAAGAUCCUUUAAUUAAAGAAGAUAAUGACAU